CUGCAUGGGGGCCCAGUGCGUGCAAUGGCUGCAAAUAGUAGCUUCCUUGGUAGUGUGAUGCAGCCUGUUUCUUGUAUGGGUUGCUCUAAGAGACCUUGGAGACAAGC
rnacentral:snoRNA from 1 species